AGUUGGUCCGAGGUUUGUGGAUUACCGUUAUAAUGUUUAACGAUGUCUCCCUCCACAACCACGCUUGACUGACUGUGUUUU
ensembl:Y_RNA Y_RNA Y RNA